UUUCCUGAAUUAAUGAAACAAUUAUCUCAAAAAUUCCAACAAAACUAUUACAUUUUAUUACUUCAUUUUUUUCUGAAUAAACAAGACAUGUUAAAAUCCCAGAAAGCCUCCUAUGCCCUGAAACCUUGAUUUCAUAAGCAAUGAGGAGCAAACCCUUAAUACAUUUAGGGGUAAUUCACUCAAAAUUCAUCCACGUGUCUACGUGAUGACCAAUGAUGUUGGCUCAUGAGACAAAGGCACUAGUAUAUCCCAAUGUUUCCAGCGAAAACUAUAUUUACAAAAAAAAAAUCAUGUGAGCCAUCAUUAACAAUGAAAUCAAGCUUUAAAGUCAACACAAGCUCUUUUAGGAUUUUAAGACGUCUUGUUAAUUCAGAUAGCAAGUGUUUUUUUGUUUUUUUUUAGUGAAAAGCGCACUUUUACGCUUCCAUAGAAAUUAAGAAGCCAAGUAGCAGCCAGGUGCCGCUAAUCAAAUACAAUCAGUCAAAAGCAUGUGUGACCAGGGGUUUUGGCAGUUUGUUGGUCUGGGGCAUUCUGGUGUUUUAACACGCUGCCAAAAUCUUCCAAGAAGAAGACCUUCCAGCAAAUUCACCUCAAGACGGUGCUCGCAAGAUGUACUAAUCUCAAAGACUGUGUGGAAGGGAAAGCAGUACCCAGAGAAAACCCACCAAGCACCGGGAGGACAAAGACCCCCAAGAAAGUUCAAAUCCACAUAAUACCUCUUUAUCAAUGUUCUGCCACAGGUUGAAUGAAAUCUACGACGACCAAACUGUCUUUGAUUAAAGAGAACCAACAAAGAACAUGUGAACAGUACUGGGCUGAAGCCCAAGUUUGCAGACUCAACAGUUUAGCCUUCAGCCUAUUGGAAUGAUCUCGGUGGUGCAUGUGCACGAAGCAGGGCACCAAGCCUUCACCAGCUCAUUACUG